UACGGAAGGCAGCAGUAGGGAAUCUUCCGCAAUGGACGAAAGUCUGACGGAGCAACGCCGCGUGAACGAUGAAGGCUUUCGGGUCGUAAAGUUCUGUUGUUAGGGAAGAACAAGUACCAGAGUAACUGCUGGUACCUUGACGGUACCUAACCAGAAAGCCACGGCUAACUACGUGCCAGCAGCCGCGGUAAUACGUAGGUGGCAAGCGUUGUCCGGAAUUAUUGGGCGUAAAGCGCGCGCAGGUGGUUCCUUAAGUCUGAUGUGAAAGCCUACGGCUCAACCGUGAGGGUCAUUGGAAACUGGGGACUUGAGUGCAGAAGAGGAAAGUGGAAUUCCACGUGUAGCGGUGAAAUGCGUAGAGAUGUGGAGGAACACCAGUGGCGAAGGCGACUUUUCUGGUCUGUAACUGACACUGAGGCGCGAAAGCGUGGGGAGCGAACAGGGAUUAGAUACC
rnacentral:rRNA from 1 species